GAACAGUAAAUGAGAGAGCGGAAAAUUCCAGCCAAACACAAACACCACAAAAGUGUAAAAAUAUGCCUGGUCGCAAAUGUACAACAUCGCAAAAACAGUCCAGUCCUUAAGGGGUUAAAUCACUUUGUUUCUGUUUAUGCAGUCCUAGCCACACCUCCCCUGACUAUGAUUGACAGAGCCUGCAUGAAAAAAAAACUGGUUUCACUUUCAAACAGAUGUAAUUCACCUUAAAUAAUUGUAUCUCAAUCUCUAAAUUGAACUUUAAUCACAUACAGGAGGCUCUUGCAGGGUCUAGCAAGCUAUUAACAUAGCAGGGGAUAAGAAAAUCUUAAUUAAACAGAACUUGCAAUAAAGAAAGCCUAAAUAGGGCUCUCUUUACAGGAAGUGUUCAUGGAAGGCUGUGCAAGUCACAUGCAGGGAGGUGUGACUAGGGUUCUUAAACAAAGGGAUUUAACUCCUAAAUGGCAGAGGAUUGAGGCUGCAGGGGCAUGUUCUAUACACCAAAACUGCUUCAUUAAGCGAAAGUUGUUCAGGUGACUAUAGUGUCCCUUUUAACUAAAUCGUAACUAGCUCAUCUGAAAAUCGUUUGACACAUACUGAUCCACCAUGUCAUGUAUAAAUAUAAAAAACAGUGCACUUUUUCCUGAUAUUGUAUGUUACACCAUUGCUU